UUUGCCUCAUUUGGGGGCUCCUGGGGUCCAGCUCACGAUGGGGAACCAAACCCAAGCUGUUGCUUUGGGGCAGGAUGUGCGGAUGUUACUGCAUCUGGGGGCCAAAGUGCUUUAAACAUCGACCCCACCAACAAUAAGGAUGAUGAAAAUAAUAAUAAUGUGGGGCAGCUGAUAUUUCUUGGGCACCAAGUAUGUGUCAGGUACUGUGUAUUUAAUCCCCAUUAUCUUACUUAAUCUUCAGAGCAGACCCUAUAAGGUAAGUGCUAUUAUUAUUCCCCUUUGGCAGAGGGAGAACCCGAAGCUCAGAGAGGUUAAUUGACUUGCCUAAGGUGACAGAGCUGGAAGGGGACGGAGGCAGGACUCAGCUUAAGUUCUGAUUUCAAAGCCUUGGACUUAAUUGCUCCUCUCUGUUAUUACGGAACCGUGCAGCUAACUUGCUGCAAAGCACAUUCGUAGGCUGAGAAAUACCCUUUAAAAUACUUUUACAAAAAUAAACAAAUAAAAUACUUUUACAGUUUUGCAACGAGUGAAUAUUUGGCUCUGCUGCUUCUCUCUCCCUCUUUUCAAAACGGACUGAAAACAGGGAAUCCCUGGGUGGCUCAGAGGUUGAGCGUCUGCCUUCAGCCCAGGGAGUGAUCCCGGGUCCGAGAUCAAGUCCCGCAUCGGGCUCCCUGCAUGAAGCCUGCAUCUCCCUUUGCCUGCAUCUCCCUUUGCCUGUGUCUCUGCCUCUCUCUCUGUGUCUUUCAUAAAUAAAUAAAAUCUGAAAAAAAAAAAAAAAAAAACCCAGACUGAAAAACAGAAACCAAAACACUCUGUCACUUUCCAGUGGGUCAGCGAGAUCAGAGGAAGAAACCUCCGCGUUCCACUGCUGGCUUAUGUAAAGGUAACAGUGGGGGAAACCUGCGCUCAUGCACACACACACCAAGCCAGGACUGCGAGAGUUGAGUUUCUCACUCGGCAAAGAGCUACCUGGGGAUUUUUCAUCACGGGAUUUUGGAGCUGAAACAAAUGUUCCUGUAUGUUGCGACAAUAUCUUGGAGCUGGCGGAGAGGCGAGGAGGUGGCCCGGUCUCAUUGUGCAGAUGCCAUUUUAACCGAAUAUUGGAAGCCCUGAGCUGUGCACGCGCUUCUCUGUGUCGCUUGCAUAAUGCAAUUUAAAUCCCUUGUUAAUUUCCAGGUCGAGUUUCAUUCAUGAGGAUAAUCUUUAAUUGAUGUUAAAUAUAGGGAUCAAGUUAAGUGCAUUAUUUCUUUUUUACAAAGUGCUAAUUGUUCAUGUUCUCAUAAAUUAUUUUCUCUUCUCGUGUAGCAGGUUUUAUGAAAGAACUUUUCAGCCAGUGCUUUUAACCUCAUUGUAUGAAUAUUAUCCUGUAAUCAGCAGACCGUUCAGGUCCCUCCUGGGCUGAUGAUCGCUAUGUCACCCUUCAGAGCAGAAAGGAGAAGAAAAAUGAGCUCGUUUUGAGCGUAUUUACAUAUGGGUGGUUCGCAGACAUUAAAAAAAUAUAUUUAUACUCAAACAUUUUAAACCUAAAUGCUUCUGUUCAGCUACUCUGUUCCAACUGGGACCUUUAAGGGAUUCAGCCUAAAUCUACUUUUUUUUUUUUUUUAAGGUCUGAAGAAGUUACUGACUUUAUUUUAGUUUUUGCUGAGUUUUAAUGGUGGUAAAAUAUACAUAACAUAAAAUUUCCCAUGUUACUCAUUUUGAAGGGUACAGGUCAGUAGUGUUAAGUACAUUUACGAUGUGUAGCCAGAAUGCUUUUCAUCUUGUAAAACUGAAACUCUGUAUUCAUUAAACAUCUCCACGGUCCUCCCUCCCCCAGUUCCUGGAAACCCCCUUUCCACCUUCGGCAUCUAUGAAUUGGCUCCUCUAGGUGCCUGAUGUUAGUGGAAUCAUACAGUGUUGUUGUUGUCAUUGUGACUGGCUCAUUUCAUUUAGCAUCACGUCCUCAGGGGUCCUCCAUCCGUUUGUCAGAAUUUCCUUCCUUUUAUUUUUUUAUUUUUAUUUUUUUAAAAGAUUUUAUUUAUUUAUUCAUGAGAGACACACAGAGAGAGGCAGAGACAUAGACAGAGGGAGAAGCAGGCUCCAUGCAGGGAGCCUGAUGCGGGACUCGAUCCCAGGACUCCAGGAUCAUACCCUGGGCUGAAGGCAGGCACUAAACUGCUGAGCCACCAGGGAUCCCCCAAUUUCCUUCCUUUUAAAGGCAGAGUAAUACUCUAUUUCGUGAUUGCACCACAUUUUGUUUAUCCAUUUAUCCACUGAUGCGCAGUUGGGUUGCUUCCACCUCUUGUCUGCUGUGAAUAAUGUUGCUAGGGACAUAGAUGUGCAGCCUAAAGCAACUUCUCAUUGUUUCAUUUAUUCCAAAAAUGUUUAGCCAUGUUCAGGAAGGACUGUGCUGAGCUUCUGUGAGGAGAGGAGAAAGGCGGGAUGUCUGCCCACAAGGAGCUUGCAUAAAAAGAAAGCCAGUAGUAAUGCUACCCACUACUUACUGAGUUCUUACAUGCAUUGGUUUGAUCUUCUCCAGGACCCUCUGAAGGAAGUGCUGUUUUAUUCCUAUUUUACACUUAAGGAAAGUGAAGUUCAGGACCAUUAAGUCACUUGUCCAAGAUCAUCACAGUUAAGGGACCUGGGAUGUGAACCCAGCCUUGUUUGACUCAAAACCUUGCCCUUAUCAGUACGGUGCCUCUUCACGGGGGGCAUAAAACUGCAUACAAAGGAGGUGAGGGACCUGUGUCUCUUGGGAGAGUGGCAGACAUUGUGCUGGGGGUGGGGGUUCAGAGGGGAUGAGAUGGCUCCUCUUGGGAUCGGGGCAGCCUUCCAGGAGGAAGUGAUGUUUGGACUGGAGCUGGGAGGACAAGGAGGAUUGGGGUGGAGCAGAGACAGGAGGGGAGAGGCUUUAUGGGAAGGGACAACGAGAACAAAGGGGAGAGAGAAGGCAGGAGGGAUCCAGGGCAGGGCAAGCGCUUUGGGUGGAGUAUGAAGGCACCAGCUGGGAGGUGAGGCCGCAGAGUGGCCAUGGAGUCAGGCCACCUGAGUGGCAAAUGCUGAGAGAUGCGACUGUCAUUUCACCAAUGGGAAGCCAAGGGCCCGGAAGGAACACAGAGCCAGGACUUCAGACUCCAGGCCGGUGCUUGUUUCACAGCAGUGGGGAAAGGUGAGGUUCUGGUUAUGGGGGUGAUGGGAAAGCAGUGAAGGUAUUUUGACCUUGUAUUCUGAGCCCCGGAACCACAGGGCAGUCUAGACGUGAGGGUGGUGUCAAGCGCAGUAACGCACCCACACCAGGCGCUACUGGCUUUGCCUGUGAGUGGAGGGGACAGCUCCUUCCUCCAAACUGCUAGCAGCCACUCAUCGCCUCCCUGCAAAGCUGCUGGGGGUGCUUCUUCCAUCAUGGGUACAUUUCCAGACACCCCCCCCACCACCCCCUUUUUAAAACAACUGAAGGCAGUAGGUGCAAGGGUGGUUAGGAACACAGGCUCUGAA
rnacentral:lncRNA from 1 species